AUAAUUUUUUUUUUUACAAAGAAUUGCUUCUUUCUUAUCGUCCUACUCUCUUCGCAUACUUUCUAUAUUCCUUGUCUCCUCCUCUAUCUCCACAAAUUAACAUUGCCCUGGUUUUCCAUUUCAUUAGGUUGUGGGUGAAUCACACCUACCUCCGAUGUCUUCUAUUCUUUCUCCGCUCACAGAAAGGUAUGUUUCAGUGGAUGUAGUGGUUUCGAAAAUAAUUUUGAAAGAGGUACCAAGUCAUGAGGGUUAUUGAAGACAUCAUUUAUUCUGAGCCGGGAAUAGGUAGUUGGUGGUCUUCGUUGCUAGCAGAGUACUCAAAAUUUUGAGGUAGUUGCUUGGUUGUUACACUGCUUUCCAAAAUUCUCUUAUGCUUAUGCUCUUUUCCUAUCUUUCCUUUUCAUAGACUAUGUAGUACAUGUUUUUAUACUUCAAUGUUCUAGAGGAUUGUCACUAAUAUCACUGGAUUUUUGGAAUUUUGAUAUUGUCCUUUCUGCUUUUCAGAUGUGUUAUCUGAAAGAAAUCUUUUUAGACUUACAUUUUGUUUAUGUAAUUAAUCCAAAAGUUUUCUUCA